AUUGAACGCUGGCGGCAUGCCUUACACAUGCAAGUCGAACGGUAACGGGUCCUUCGGGAUGCCGACGAGUGGCGAACGGGUGAGUAAUAUAUCGGAACGUGCCCAGUAGUGGGGGAUAACUGCUCGAAAGAGCAGCUAAUACCGCAUACGACCUGAGGGUGAAAGGGGGGGAUCGCAAGACCUCUCGCUAUUGGAGCGGCCGAUAUCAGAUUAGCUAGUUGGUGGGGUAAAGGCCUACCAAGGCAACGAUCUGUAGUUUGUCUGAGAGGACGACCAGCCACACUGGGACUGAGACACGGCCCAGACUCCUACGGGAGGCAGCAGUUGGGAAUUUUGGACAAUGGGCCCAAGCCUGAUCCAGCAAUGCCGCGUGCAGGAAGAAGGCCUUCGGGUUGUAAACUGCUUUUGUCAGGGAAGAAAUCUUCUGGGCUAAUUCCCCGGGAGGAUGACGGUACCUGAAGAAUAAGCACCGGCUAACUACGUGCCAGCAGCCGCCGUAA
rnacentral:rRNA from 1 species